AUUGAACGCUGGCGGCAUGCCUUACACAUGCAAGUCGAACGGUAACGGGCCUUCGGGUGCCGACGAGUGGCGAACGGGUGAGUAAUGUAUCGGAACGUACCUUUCAGUGGGGGAUAACGUAGCGAAAGUUACGCUAAUACCGCAUAUUCUGUGAGCAGGAAAGCAGGGGAUCGCAAGACCUUGCGCUGAUUGAGCGGCCGAUAUCAGAUUAGCUAGUUGGUGAGGUAAAGGCUCACCAAGGCGACGAUCUGUAGCGGGUCUGAGAGGAUGAUCCGCCACACUGGAACUGAGACACGGUCCAGACUCCUACGGGGAGGCAGCAGGUGGGGUAAUUUUGGACAAGUGGGGCAACCCUGAUCCAGCCAUGCCGCGUGAGUGAAGAAGGCC
rnacentral:rRNA from 1 species